UUGAAUAAACUUGGUUGGGUUGAUGCUGGCUCCUAGGAGCAAGUGCACACUCACUCCAUUUUUAACCACCUGUGCACCCUGUGUAGAUUUGGGCAAAUCUCGAGGAAACUCGGUCAGAGAAUUGCAGGUUUUACGACCCGCUCUUCUUGUGUUCAAAUCUAUGUCUUUAUACACUCCAAUAGAAUGUAUCAGAAUGUAAUUGACAGGCGUCACUGCCUUUAAAAAUUAAUA
rnacentral:misc_RNA from 1 species